CCGCAGAGAGCCCGGGCCCGGCGCCCUGCAGGGCCGCCCGCGAGCAGCCAACGACGGGGCGCGCCGGAGCCGCGAGCACCCUGCGGGGCCGCGUACGCGCAUGCGCCGCGCGCGUCUCGGCAGGAGCCCGGCGACAGCUGGUGGGCCCCGGCCUGCGGGGCCGCGACUGCGGGUGGCGCACAGGGUGGAUAUAAUAGAUCCUCAAGGAGAAUUUGCUGAAGGAAAAAAGGGCAUGAAGGGUGAGCAGAGAAUCAUAAUUUUCAAGGAUUAAAAAACCACACUUGUCCAAUAAAAGUUUCUGCAGUUCCCUGCACUGCCUAUUUCUGAGGGAAGAAAGAACGGGAACCACCCAGAGAGCUCUUUGCCAGUAACCAGAUGUGCUCUUCAGCAGCUCUGCUCAAGUUUGAGGAAAGACCACAGGAUGAAUCCUCAACACAUUUAAGAAAUAAAAUGUAAUUUAGCUCAUUAAUCAUGAAACUGAAAUCUGCAGUUUUGCUGCACAUAUUUCAAAGGCUGAAUCCCUCCUGACAAGAGAAACGGAACAUAAUAUCACCGCACACUUGACUGUUAAGAGUCUGUUCUUCGUUUUCCUCAGGGAAGAAGAGAUUUUUCUGGGUGUGAUCAUUUUUACUCAGAAUAUGUGGAGCACUAUUUAAAUUUAUGCCUUUCUUAUCCCCUUUCACCCCGACAUUCUCCUUCCUCAGGGUGGUAAGAAUAUCUUUUUUCUGCUCUGUUUUGGAUUUUUUUGGUUUGGAGAAUCAGAGCUACCUUGAAUAGCCAGGAAAUUCCAGCUGUAUCUGGGUAGGCCUUAAAGUCAAUCAUUUUAACUGACUUACUAUAUGUACUCAGACUGCUAGAGGAUUUAAUUCUUUUCCCUGAUUACUUGUAUAAAUAAUGCCCUACUUUGUCUUAAAGAAUUAAUAGCAUUAAUAAUAUAAGUAAUGAAGUGACAUAAAAUAAGAAACUGCUUCACAAACUCUAAGAACAUUUACCAACACUAUUGUGUUUUAUAAAACCAGUUUGAAGAAACAGGUGGGGGUAGUGCAAUUAUUUUCAUUUUACAGAGAAGAAAACUGGCUUGGAGAGUUUUAGGGACCUACUGUUAGGUGACUCACGUAUUUCCUUCCUGAUCCUGUUUUAUUUUUUUCAUUUUAUCCCAUCAUCAUUGCUGUCAACCAAAUUCUUGUGGAUGCGUUAUAGUCUAGUGAAGCAAUGCUGAAUUAGGAGUAGAGAGACCAGCACACCACUUCACAAUAUACUACCAUGCUGCACAAUCUCUUUUAUUUCCUUUGGCUCCUAGUCUUUGUUAUAAAGUGGGCAGGGAACUGCUAAACCUGUCUUCCUCGAGGGAACACAGCAGGCCAAAAGGGUACUGCAUUUGCAAAAAUACUUGAGGAAUAAAGGGCCAAUUUAUUAUUACACCAUAGGAAUCAAAUGGAGAUUUUUCUAAACUAUGUUAUCAAGCAAAAAUUGAAAGGUAAGAAUGUGUUUCAAUAAAUAUAUCCCCAGCCAUCAAAAAGCAAGAAUCUUUCAUUUAGAUUUAAGGCAUCAGGGAUUUUGAAGCAUUUUACUUUGUAUUUACAGAAUUCCGUGGUAAGUUAUGAUUCUACAAUUUACUUACUGGUUGACUUUAGAUAACUCUCUGUCUUGAUUUCCCUACCUAAAAAUCUGGUACGUUAAUAGCUAUUACACGG